UUCCGGUUGAUCCUGCCGGACCCGACUGCUAUCGGAUUGAGGUUUAGCCAUGCGAGUCGAACGUCCCCCUGUUGCGGGGGGCGUGGCAUACGGCUCAGUAACACGUAGUCAACCUGCCCUGGAGACAUGGACAACCCCGGGAAACUGGGAUUAAUCCGUGAUAGGUCAUCUCAUCUGGAAGGAGAGAUGGCUUAAAGGGGUACGCGGGCUUCUUCCGCGAAUCUGCUCCAGGAUGGGACUGCGUCCGAUCAGGCUGUUGGCGGGGUAAUGGCCCACCAAACCUGUAACCGGUACGGGCCUUGAGAGAGGUGGCCCGGAGAUGGACACUGAGAGAAGGGUCCAGGUCCUACGGGGCGCAGCAGGCGCGAAACCUUCGCAAUGCGCGAAAGCGUGACGAGGUUAAUCCGAGUGGCCCCCGCUGAGGGGGUCUUUUGUCGGCUGUAAAUAGGCCGGCGAAUAAGGGGAGGGCAAGCCUGGUGUCAGCCGCCGCGGUAAUACCAGCUCCUCGAGUGGUCGGGGCGAUUAUUGGGCCUAAAGCAUCCGUAGCCGGUUCCGUAGGUCCUCUGUUAAAUCCAACCGCUUAACGGUUGACCUGCAGAGGAUACCGCGGGACUAGGAGGCGGGAGAGGCGGACGGUACUCCGCGUGUAGGGGUAAAAUCCUUUGAUCCGCGGAAGACCACCAGUGGCGAAGGCGGUCCGCCAGAACGCGCUCGACGGUGAGGGAUGAAAGCUGGGGGGAGCGAACCGGAUUAGAUACCCGGGUAGUCCCAG
rnacentral:rRNA from 1 species